rnacentral:rRNA from 1 species
UACGUAGGUCCCGAGCGUUGUCCGGAUUUAUUGGGCGUAAAGCGAGCGCAGGUGGUUUAUUAAGUCUGGUGUAAAAGGCAGUGGCUCAACCAUUGUAUGCAUUGGAAACUGGUAGACUUGAGUGCAGGAGAGGAGAGUGGAAUUCCAUGUGUAGCGGUGAAAUGCGUAGAUAUAUGGAGGAACACCGGUGGCGAAAGCGGCUCUCUGGCCUGUAACUGACACUGAGGCUCGAAAGCAUGGGGAGCAAACAGG